rnacentral:rRNA from 1 species
GAUGAACGCUGGCGGCGUGCCUAAUACAUGCAAGUCGAGCGAACGGACGAGAAGCUUGCUUCUCUGAUGUUAGCGGCGACGGGGGAGUAAACCGUGGAUAACCUACCUAUAAGACUGGGAUAACUUCGGGAAACCGGAGCUAAAACCGGAAGAAAUUUUUAACCGCAUGGUUCCAAAGUGAAAGACGGGCUUGCUGUCACUUAUUGAUGGAUCCGCGCUGCAUUAGCUAGUUGGUAAGGUAACGGCUUACCAAGGCAACGAUGCAUAGCCGACCUGAGAGGGUGAUCGGCCACACUGGAACUGAGACACGGUCCAGACUCCUACGGGAGGCAGCAGUAGGGAAUCUUCCGCAAUGGGCGAAAGCCUGACGGAGCAACGCCGCGUGAGUGAUGAAGGUCUUCGGAUCGUAAAACUCUGUUAUUAGGGAAGAACAUAUGUGUAAGUAACUGUGCACAUCUUGACGGUACCUAAUCAGAAAGCCACGGCUAACUACGUG